UAUGGCCCUUAUGAAGAAAAGAAUGGAAUCUGCCACCGUGUCCUACACGUGUAUUCUGGGAAGUGGCGGCCAAAUGGUUUGCAAAAAAUGCCUGUGGAAAGGUCCUGUGUUACUCAAUGGGUCCAACAACAGUCUGUCGCCUACAAUGUAUCCAGUGUUUUUGCAAGUGUGGAAGUCCCUAAUUUGCCUUCAGCGGUUACAGCACUACAUGCCUGCGUGAUC